rnacentral:rRNA from 1 species
UACGUAGGGUGCUAGCGUUGUCCGGAUUUAUUGGGCGUAAAGAGCUCGUAGGCGGCCAGUUGCGUCCGCUGUGAAAACCCGGGGCUCAACCCCGGGCUUGCAGUGGAUACGGGCUGGCUAGAGGCAGGCAGGGGAGAACGGAAUUCCCGGUGUAGCGGUGAAAUGCGCAGAUAUCGGGAGGAACACCGGUGGCGAAGGCGGUUCUCUGGGCCUGUACUGACGCUGAGGAGCGAAAGCGUGGGGAGCGAACAGG